CUUGAUCGACCCCAACCACAGCGGCCGGUCGGCCGGCCGGUCCUGCCCGUACGUGGCCAGCAACGCCUGCGCCUC
rnacentral:antisense_RNA from 1 species